CAAGGUUUCCGUAGGUGAACCUGCGGAAGGAUCAUUAUUGAAUACGUUUUGGUUCUGAGCUGGCGUUUACGCACUGUGCUCGUCCAUACUAUUUAUCUUCUCUUGUGCACCUUUUGUAGUCUUCAAAGUCGAAAAGUGAACCUCUCGCAGCAAUGCGGUUUGGGGGACUUAGAGCUAACACCUCUUUCCCCUGCCUUGCUUUUUGGCUUUCGAAGGCUAUGUUUUCAUAUACACUAUAAAGUUACAGAAUGUCUUUUAACGAUCCUUAAAAAGAUCAUUAAACCUAUACAACUUUCAGCAACGGAUCUCUUGGCUCUCCCAUCGAUGAAGAACGCAGCGAAAUGCGAUAAGUAAUGUGAAUUGCAGAAUUCAGUGAAUCAUCGAAUCUUUGAACGCACCUUGCGCCCUUUGGUAUUCCGAAGGGCAUGCCUGUUUGAGUGUCAUUAAAUUAUCAACCUUUCUCGCUUGUUCGCAGGUUUGAGUUAGGCUUGGAUGUGAGGGUUUUUUGCUGGCUUCCUUCAGUGGAUGGUUUGCUCCCUUGAAAUACAUUAGCGGGAUCUCUUGUGGACCGUCACUUGGUGUGAUAAUUAUCUAUGCCGUGUUGACUUUGAAGCAAAACUUAUGGGAAUCCGCUCAUAACCGUCCCUUCACUGUGGACAAUUUAUUGACUAUUUGACCUCAAAUCAGGUAGGACUACCCGCUGAACUUAAGCAUAUCAAUAAGCGGAGGAAAAGAAACUAACAAGGAUUCCCCUAGUAACUGCGAGUGAAGCGGGAAAAGCUCAAAUUUAAAAUCUGGCGGUCCCUGUGGCCGUCCGAGUUGUAAUUUAGAGAA
rnacentral:misc_RNA from 1 species